UCCUGGCUCAGGAUGAACGCUAGCGGCAGGCUUAACACAUGCAAGGUCGAGGGGUAACGCGGUGUAGCAAUACACUGGCGACGACCGGCGCACGGGUGCGUAACGCGUAUGCAACCUACCUGUAACAGGGGAAUAACGGAGAGAAAUUUCCACUAAUGCCCCAUAUUGUCAUAGAUUCGCAUGUUUCUAUGACGAAAGGUUUUUCUGGUUACGGAUGGGCAUGCGUGACAUUAGCUAGUUGGUAAGGUAACGGCUUACCAAGGCGACGAUGUCUAGGGGAGCUGAGAGGCUUAUCCCCCACACUGGUACUGAGACACGGACCAGACUCCUACGGGAGGCAGCAGUGAGGAAUAUUGGUCAAUGGAGGGAACUCUGAACCAGCCAUGCCCGCGUGGAGGAAGAAGGUCCUAUGGGUUGUAAACUCCUUUUGUUCCGGAGUAAUAAGUGGUUUGCGAACCACGAUGAGAGUACGGGACGAAUAAGCAUCGGCUAACUCCGUGCCAGCCGCGGC
rnacentral:rRNA from 1 species